GUGAUGGUGGGAGCGUGGCAGAGGGUUAGUGGUUGUCUGCAGAUAUGGGAGCCACUGCUAUGUGUUCAAUGCACUAAGGAUGCAACGACGAACAGGACAGACAUGGCCCUGCCUUCAAGGAAAAAGACUGUGAAGGAGGAAGGCAAUAAGGAGAGACGAAAUCUGGGCUGCAAUUUAAUUACAGAACUGAGCCUUGGAACAUUUCAGGCCUGGCACGGAAUGCAGUUUUUACACAACUUGAGGCAUGAGGAGGUGAGAGAUGGAAAGAAUGCUGUCUGUCAUUUGGAGUCAGAAGGAAAAGAAGGUUGAGGGUCUGCCAGCUCUGCUCUAGUGGUUUUUUCCUGUUUCACCUUUUACAAAAUCGAGAUAAUCGUUUCUACUUGGUAGCGAUAUUGUGAGGUGUAAAAUGGAUUAAUACAUGGAAAAUGCUUAAAGCAACUUCUGGCAUACGGUGAUCGCUCAACCAAUCCAUUGUUAUUUUAUUAUUAUUAUUUUUGUAAGACAGAGUUUUGCUUUUGUUACCCAGGCUGGAGUGCAAUGGUGUGAUCUCGGCUCACUGCAACCUCUGUUUCCCGGAUUCAAGCGAUUUUCCUCCUCCUGAGUAGCUGAGAUUACAGGUGCCCACCACCACACCCAGCUAAUUUUUUGUUUUGUUUUGUUUUUUGUUUUUUUUGAGACAGAGUCUCGCUCUGUUGCCCAGGCUGGAGUGCAGUGGCACGAUCUCGGCACACUGCAAGCUCUGCCUCCCGGGUUCACACCAUUCUCCUGCCUCAGCCUCCCCAGUAGCUGGGACUACAGGCGCCCGCCACCACGCCUGGCUAAUUUUUUGUAUUUUUAGUAGAGAUGGGGUUUCACCGUGUUAGCCAGGAUGGUCUCCAUCUCCUGACCUCGUGAUCCACCCACCUUGGCCUC
rnacentral:lncRNA from 1 species